AAAGGAUUAUCAAUGUUUCUCGGCGAGAAAUUUGUAUUAAUGGGAGAUAACAGGUUCUGUUGCUGCUGCUGAAAUGGACUGCAAACUGCAGAUUUGUGGGUAGGGGAAUAAACAGAUUGAGCUACUGUUCGAUCAGAAAAUCUAGGAGAUGAGCUCUCUGCAGGAAAAUAAUCCUCAAGAUUUGCACGGGUAAAGGUCAUAGGACGAACUGAAUGGUUCAAAGAAUCAGAACUCAUGCUGUUACGCUGGGAUAGGCAGGAAAACUCAUUUAGGAACUGCUGUCGUUGCACAUCAAAAUCUGGACAUGUGGACAGGUCUGCAGCUGGUAUACCUCUAGCACUGAGCGAUGACCAUAGGCGACUCGAAUGAACAAAGCUACCAGGAAGAUGCAAGGGUGGGGCGUUUCGUUGGGCCCAACCCAUGCUUGAAAUUCCAUUAGCAGAAGGUGAUACAGGAGGUGUGAAAGGUGAUGGUGACAUGACAGAGACUGAGGAAGGA
rnacentral:misc_RNA from 1 species